GAAAGGCUGAAGCACCUGUAAAAGCUCCUAGAGUCACUUAGAAGACAUUUAAGUCAUGAAGACACUGGGUUCCUUGGUCUGAUACAAUGUUAUGCCAAUCCUGAGCUGGUGGAUCAAACACUCUCUAAGCUGCUGGAUAGUGAUGCUGACUUCCCUGUGAGAAGGUAAACUCAUUUAUAGGUAUAUAGAAACAAGCAAAAAUGUCUCCACACAAGGGAUGAUUCCUGGAUUUCCUUUACUUUUCUGCCCAAGCCAUUGUCCUCAGGAAUGAUGUGUGGCUAUAAAAUGUACUGUGGAAAUCAUCUCUCCAUUCAGGAACUCAGCACAGCUGCUACCAUGAGGA